rnacentral:rRNA from 1 species
GACGAACGCUGGCGGCGUGCUUAACACAUGCAAGUCGAACGGAAAGGCCCUGCUUUUGUGGGGUGCUCGAGUGGCGAACGGGUGAGUAACACGUGAGUAACCUGCCCUUGUCUUUGGGAUAACUUCAGGAAACUGGGGCUAAUACCGGAUAUGAGAUCCUGCUGCAUGGUGGGGGUUGGAAAGUUUCGGCGGUUGGGGAUGGACUCGCGGCUUAUCAGCUUGUUGGUGGGGUAGUGGCUUACCAAGGCUUUGACGGGUAGCCGGCCUGAGAGGGUGACCGGCCACAUGGGUCCUGAGAUACGGCCCAGACGCCUACGUGAGGCAGUAGUGGGGAGUAUUGCACAAUGGGCGGAAGCCUGAUGCAGCAACGCCGCGUGCGGGAUGACGUCCUUCGGGUUGUAAACCGCUUUCGCCUGUGACGAAGCGUGAGUGACGGUAAUGGGUAAAGAAGCACCGGCUAACUACGUG